rnacentral:rRNA from 1 species
UACGUAGGUGGCAAGCGUUGUCCGGAUUUACUGGGCGUAAAGGGCGUGCAGGCGGUCUGUUAAGUGCAGGGUGAAAGCUCCCGGCUCAACUGGGAGAGGUCCUUGCAUACUGGCGGACUUGAGGGGGGUAGAGGAAAGUGGAAUUCCCGGUGUAGUGGUGAUAUGCGUAGAUAUCAGGAGGAACACCUAUGGCGAAGGCAGCACUCUGGGACGGUACUGACGCUGAGACGCGAAAGCGUGGGGAGCGAACAGG